GAUGAACGCUGGCGGCGUGCCUAACACAUGCAAGUCGAGCGUGAUUUAUGAGGACGAAACUUCGGUCUAGGAAUCAUAAUGAAAGCGGCGGACGGGUGAGUAACGCGUAGGCAACCUGCCCUUAACACAGGGAUAGCCUCGGGAAACCGGGAUUAAAACCUGAUGAUGCCAAAGAGUCACAUGGCUCGUUGGCCAAAGAUUUAUCGGUUAAGGAUGGGCCUGCGUCUGAUUAGUUUGUUGGUGGGGUAACGGCCUACCAAGACUACGAUCAGUAGCCGACCGGGGGGGGUGAUCGGCCACAUUGGAACUGAGACACGGUCCAAACUCCUACGGGAGGCAGCAGUGGGGAAUAUUGCACAAUGGGCGAAAGCCUGAUGCAGCAACGCCGCGUGAGCGAUGAAGGCCUUUGGGUCGUAAAGCUCUGUCCUUGGGGAAGAAACAAAUGACGGUACCCAAGGAGGAAGCCCCGGCUAACUACGUGCCAGCCGCCGCGGUAACAC
rnacentral:rRNA from 1 species